UCUUGAAAUGUUUCCAACCUUGGAACUGCAUUCAUGGGAUGGGAAGAGCUGAUGGAAGCCAAGGGGGAGAGAAAGUACAAAGGAAGAUUUCCAGAGAUAAAGAGAACAACUCCUCAGUGAGCCAGCUUGGAGAGAACAAGUGGAGGGAGGCACGUCUUCAGCAGAUGUUUACUAACUCACUGUGGUACUGGAGCCAGCUGGGGCUAACUGAGGAACAUUUUCCAUCCCAGAUCCUUUGUGGUGAAAAAGAAUAAAGUAGAAAAUGAAUGGCACCAGAUUGUGUCCAUGAUUUAUC
rnacentral:lncRNA from 1 species